rnacentral:ncRNA from 1 species
CAAAGAUAAAAACGCAAAGCGCCGUUCGCGCGAGAGCCGGUAGGUAGCCCGGCCGUCUCACACUCGUGAGGUAAGUAACCUGCCCCUCCUGGGUUGUCCAUUCUUUGUCCAUC